CCUACGGGAGGCAGCAGUGGGGAAUAUUGGGCAAUGGGCGCAAGCCUGACCCAGCAAUGCCGCGUGAAGGAAGAAGGCUUUCGGGUUGUAAACUUCUUUGACAGGGGAAGAGCAGAAGACGGUACCCUGAAAACAAGCCACGGCUAACUACGUGCCAGCAGCCGCGGUAAUACGUAGGUGGCAAGCGUUGUCCGGAUUUACUGGGUGUAAAGGGCGUGUAGCCGGGAAGGCAAGUCAGAUGUGAAAUCUGGAGGCUCAACCUCCAAAUUGCAUUUGAAACUGUUUUUCUUGAGUACUGGAGAGGCAGACGGAAUUCCGCGUGGAGCGGUGAAAUGCGUAGAUAUAAGGAGGAACACCAGUGGCGAAGGCGGUCUGCUGGACAGCAACUGACGGUGAGGCGCGAAAGCGUGGGGAGCAAACAGGAGUAGAUACCCCAGUAGUC
rnacentral:rRNA from 1 species